GAUGAACGCUGGCGGCGUGCCUAAUACAUGCAAGUCGAGCGAACAGACGAGGAGCUUGCUCCUCUGAUGUUAGCGGCGGACGGGUGAGUAACACGUGGAUAACCUACCUAUAAGACUGGGAUAACUUCGGGAAACCGGAGCUAAUACCGGAUAACAUGUUGAACCGCAUGGUUCAACAGUGAAAGACGGUCUUGCUGUCACUUAUAGAUGGAUCCGCGCCGCAUUAGCUAGUUGGUAAGGUAACGGCUUACCAAGGCAACGAUGCGUAGCCGACCUGAGAGGGUGAUCGGCCACACUGGAACUGAGACACGGUCCAGACUCCUACGGGAGGCAGCAGUAGGGAAUCUUCCGCAAUGGGCGAAAGCCUGACGGAGCAACGCCGCGUGAGUGAAGAAGGUCUUCGGAUCGUAAAACUCUGUUAUUAGGGAAGAACAAAUGUGUAAGUAACUAUGCACGUCUUGACGGUACCUAAUCAGAAAGCCACGGCUAACUACGU
rnacentral:rRNA from 1 species